rnacentral:lncRNA from 1 species
UUUCUAUCCCACCUGUGGCUCUCUGUAUCAUAGUCUAGAGGACUCUAAGAGUAUAGAUCACAUCGGAUAGCUGAUGUUGUAAGUCUGUGUGAGAUAGAUUUCUCUCUAAUUUCUCAAUACGAAAGGUCAAAUUACAAAUGUCCUGCCUUAUGUCCUAUAUCGUUGAAAUUUGAUUGUCCAAUUUUUGAUCUGCUGAAGAACUACACGUGGUCCUUGCAGAACUCUCCCCUGAAGAUUGAGAGGACUGAAGAAUAGAUAUAACCCGAGCUAUAGCACUGACC